GCCCGCGCCGCUCUGCGGCAGGCGAGGUGCGGCGCGCCAGAGCGCAGGACUUCCUGGGAGGCAGUCGAGGAGCCCUGGCUUUACAAAGAAAAGCAAAUGAAAGAUGCACUGCGAGAGGCGGGAGGAAGAAACCCUGAGUCUCCCGAGACUCAAAGUUCUCCUGCAGAAUAGAAGCCGGUAACCUACAAUCUAGCUGGCUGGCUACAUUGAUGGAGGGUCAGAGUGAAACUGGGAAACUAGUUUUCACUGGGGCUCUGUAACCUUGCGUUGUAUUAUAGAAUAUGACUGAGUUGAGAGAGUCGGAGGGAAGGGGAGUUGAUUUAAUGGACUCGGAUGGCCAUGGCAGUUUCUCUUCCAUUCUUCGGCCACACACACAGAAGCGCAAACUAUGUUUCAGGCGGAGUUUCGAUCUUGUCGCCCAGGCUGCAAUGCAAUGCUGCGAUCUCGGCUCACUGCAACCUCCGCCUCUCGGGUUCAAGCAAUUAUCCUGCCUCAGCCUCCUGAGUAGCUGGGACUACAGGCGCCCACCACCAUGCCCGGCUAAUUUUUGUAUUUUUAGUAGAGACGGGGUUUCACCAUAUUAGCCAGGCUGGUCUCGAACUCCUGACCUCAGAUGAUCUGCUCCCCUCGGCCUAGCUACAUCUUAUUAAUAAGCAUAAACUAAUUUUAUCUCAACAGUAAAGAUAUUUUCAAUAGGAAAAAAAGAAAAAAAAUGAUGUAUAUGAAGACUAAUAACGAGGGGGAAAGCAGGGAAAAAACGUAAGUAUAGUAUGAUUACCACUAAACAAAGAUAAAUGCAUAAUAAGGUAGGGGUUCAGGAGGGAAACCUGAAGGAAAUACCCCAAAAUACUGGCACUAGUGAUGUCAGGAUCAUGAAUUUACUGGUGUUUUUGCUUUGUUUUCCAGAGUUUCAGCUGUGUGAUUCUAUUACUCAAAUAAUGAAAUACACAUAUAUAUUUACA
rnacentral:lncRNA from 1 species